GAACGACAUCGAGACUGACCUCUACAACACUGAUCUCUGCUCGCGACGCAGGUCGUCAUCGGAAGGACACCGCGACGUCGCUGGUGAGGAUUGUCGUGAAGGUGGUACACACACUCAACAUGCCCGACAGAGGUCCGACGCUACAAAUUCAAAUAUGCGCUGUUCAGCAUCUGGGUCCUGCUCUGGUUCCUGCCCUUGCAUAGACGCUUGGUUUCGGUCCCUGGUGCUCUCCUCUUGGCACUAGCUGACCUUUGUCCAGGCUCGUCCAGCUCCCAGUCUACGUCUGGCUGGGUCAAGA